CUGGUUGAUCCUGCCAGUAGUCAUAUGCUUGUCUCAAAGAUUAAGCCAUGCAUGUCUCAGUACUUGCUUUUACAAGGCGAAACCGCGAAUGGCUCAUUAAAUCAGUUAUGGUUCACUAGAUCGUACAGUUUACAUGGAUAACUGUGGUAAUUCUAGAGCUAAUACAUGCACCUAAUCCGGUCCCUCGUGGAUCGGAUGCAGUUAUUUGCCCAAAACCAAUCCGGCCUUAGGGUCGGUCACUUGGUGACUCUGAAUAACCGAAGCAGAGCGCAUGGUCUCGUACCGGCGCCAGAUCUUUCAAGUGUCUGACUUAUUAGCUUGUUGUUAGGUUAUGUUCCUAACAAGGCAUCGAUGGGUAACGGCGGGUAGUGGCUCUACUCCGGAGAGGGAGCCUGAGAAACGGCUACCACAUCCAAGGAAGGCAGCAGGCGCGCAAAUUACCCACUCCCGGCACGGGGAGGUAGUGACGAAAAAUAACGAUGCGAGAGCUUUAUGCUCCUCGUAAUCGGAAUGGGUACACUUUAAAACCUUGAAUUAGAAACAAUUGGAGGGCAAGUCUGGUA
rnacentral:rRNA from 1 species